GAUCAUGGCUCAGAUUGAACGCUGGCGGCAGGCUUAACACAUGCAAGUCGAACGGUAACAGGAGAAAGCUUGCUUUCUUGCUGACGAGUGGCGGACGGGUGAGUAAUGCUUGGGAAUCUGGCUUAUGGAGGGGGAUAACGACGGGAAACUGUCGCUAAUACCGCGUAGAGUCGAGAGACGAAAGUGCGGGACCGCAAGGCCGCAUGCCAUAGGAUGAGCCCAAGUGGGAUCGUAGG
rnacentral:rRNA from 1 species